rnacentral:lncRNA from 1 species
CUUUCCCAAUCCUUCUCCUCUCUUCUUCAUUCAUCUACUCAUGCUUCAAUUCUUGAAUUUAAUCAACCAACAGAACAGAAUUAGAAACAACAAAAAGCGUUUUAUCGAUAUUACUCAGUUUAUUUUUAAGUCCACACUAUAGAAACUCGAACAACUUAAUAUAUCAUUUUGUGUGCAUUAAUUUCUUGUAUACAUUUUUCCUCGCCAAUUAUUACUGUAAAGAUUGGUAGAGUUGACUUACAUCAAGCUGGCGUACCACCAGCCCAAGAACUAGGCUAGAUUUUGGGAACAGUUUUUUUGGAUCAUAUAAAAUUUAGGAUUAUUUAUGUUUAUUUGAAUUUAGAAUUUCCAUUGUGCUUGCAUUUUUGCUUUUGUCUUCCAAAUUUUAACUGUUAUUGUUUUGUUUAUAUGACUGUAAGUUGUGACUGUUUUGUGUGUGUUGAUUGACAACCUUGGUUAGCAUUUACAUUUUGUUGAAGAUCCCAUUUCGAUUCAUUGGUUAUGGCACCCACAAAUAUCUAAUCCCGAACACGUUCGAGAUGUUUAUUUCUCGGUGUGAGGGUUGUGUUCCAUAUUUACAUGAGUGACCAAAUUAUAAUAUGCAAGUGGAACUCGAACCUAGAGGUUGAGUUAGGCAUAAAAUAAAACCACUUUCUAUGACAUUUGUUGGCAUACUGCUUUAGUGUUACACGGACAGAUUUCUAAAACUGAAAUUAGUGAUUAGAUUUCAGCUUAUCGCUCGUUUGUGUUACUGUUGAAACUGGUGUAGAUUCUGAUGCAAGUUCAAUGCAUAAGCAACAGGAGUCUUCCGGAAAUGUAAGUUGGGGCCAGUGAAUGGUAACACAAAUAUGCACGUAUUCUUUGACACUUUACUAGUGUAAAGUGGUUUAAGAUUUUUAUACCACUCAUUUUUUGUUGAAGAUUUGAAAACUUAUCUUAAGGCAUUAACAGAAAUAAAAUCAUGCUUGUAACUGGAGGUUUUGAACUUUUACUUUGAAGCUGUUCUGCUUAAAGUACGGCCCCUUUCUUCUGGUAUAUAGAUGUUGAUUUUUCGAAACCCAUUCAGAUCCUUCUCAGCUAGUUAAAGAAUGGGACAAUAAGAAGGAAAAAAGAAAAAACACAAAAGUGGUGUGUAUUAGCAUUUGGUGAUUUGUUUUAUGUUCCAAGCAGACAGUAUCUUUACUCUUCCCUUCCCUUUGAUAGCCUUCAAAGUCUAUAACGAUUAGUAUAGAAUUUUAUAUUAUGACUUUAAGCAUUGUCCACUUGAUGAUUGCUUUAAGCUGGUUUAAGUUCACAAUAUUUGAAUUUAUCAAAAUAAAAGCUAAAUAGCUUGAACAUAUAGAUAGGGAUAGCUAUGUGUAUAUAUUUUUAGUGAUAUUUUCAUAUUGUAUGUAAUGUAUUCAAUUUUAAGCUGUGUUUGGAUGGGUGAAGCAAAAUGAAAUAAGAUAUUCAACCAAUUUUGAGAUUGUUAGGGAUGGGAACCAAAAUUGCCUUACCGUUUUAUUACUCAUAAUUUCCGUACUCUCUAAUGUAGAGGUUUCUAAGAGGGUAUAAUUUGAGGUUAGUCUUCAAUAAUUUCAACCCAACACCUUAACCUUUUUGCUAUAAGUAAACAUAUCAAAAGGACAAUUCUAGAAGGAGAAUUUGUAAUAUAUUGACUUGGGUAAUUAUUAUUUUUACUUUCAAACAAAGGAAAGGGGAUCCCCACCAUCAUUCAUUAAAAGUUUCAAAUAAUAGAGUGGUACCAUUUCAUCCAAUUCCAACAGAUUCCACUUAAUCCUCUUCAAAAUUUACAAAUGUAGCUGUAUGCUUUGCUUUUCUAGUUCAUCAAGCACCUUACAAUGAAAAAUCACUUUGAUUUUCUUGAUAGAAUGUGUUUCACAUUUGGAAUUUGUUAAAGUUACUGGUGUCUGUUUUUCAAGAGAUUUACAGUGCAUACAUCAGUUCUGCUGAUUUUUUAAUUUGAUUCUUUUCUAUUGAGUAUUGAUUCUGCUGAUUUUAACCAUCAUACAUUAUAUCUCCAGUGGAAUGCUAGUCCAGGAUCCUUCAAAGGGAAAUGACGUGGAUGCAAUUUUUCAUCAAGCCAGGCAACUUGGUGCUGUUGAGAGGCCUCUUGAUCAGCUUCAGGAGCCUCCAAGGUCAACUAGCUUUACUGGAACUGGCAGGUUACUCUCGGGGGAAACUGCACAAUCUACUACUAAUCAGCAACCUGAGGCUGUUGUUCACAACAUUGUUUUCUGGAGUAAUGGUUUUACUGUAAAUGAUGGACCUUUGAGGAGAUUGGAUGAUCCUGAAAAUGCCUCAUUUCUAGAGGUGAUGCUAUUUAAGAUUCUGAUUCCAUUAGUGGCAAAAUAAUUCAGAAAUAUAUAUUAAGGUAGUGUUCCAGGAAAGGCAAAUCCUGAUUUUGGAGGAUUGAGUUUUUGGUGAGCAUUUUUCAGGAAAUAGGGUAAUAUCUUAACAAAUUCCACUUACAUUGUGGUGAAAAUUAUUUAAAUUCUUUCUGAAAUUCAGUAUAUUUUAUUAUAUAAGUAUUUUGUCAGUUGCUUUCAUAAUUUAUUUCCAGACUGUGUAAGAACGGUGCCCCAGAAAUGGUUUUGUUGUGCUUAAUGAUAUUUGCUUCUUUUUAAUGCAGAGCAUAAAAAAAUCCGAGUGUCCCAAAGAGCUUGAACCUGCAGAUAGGAGGUCAUCUGUUAACGUCAACCUCAUAAGGAGGAAUGAGAACUAUCCUGUGAGGUUUCUAUCUGAGUUUUUUCAUUUAUCUCUGUCCGAUUUAUGUUAAACCGCACUGUAUUUUGUUGACAUUGUUUACUAGUUUUGGAGCUUUUUAACUCUGACAUUUUGAAAUGCAAUACGGGUCUUUUGUUAUGCAUAAUUUCUUGAGUCUGAAAUCAAACACGCCCAGUGUGUAAAUUAUAAGUGCAUUUGGUCAUUGCUUACAGGAACCCGAAAGGCAGCAUGUUCCAUUUCAGGGAGUGGGGAGAACACUUGGAAGCAGCUCUACAUCAGUGGCUCCUGACCCAACUACUGCCUUAACACCUCCAACCACGGCUCCAACUCCUUCUGCAGGCCUGGUUGUUGAUCAAUCACUGCCAUCAACCUCAAUACAAGUCAGGUUGGCUGAUGGAACCCGCUUGAUAUCACAUUUUAAUCAUCACCACGUGAUCAGUGACAUCCGUGCCUUCAUUGAUGCAUCUCGACCUGGUGGUCGGCAAAAUUAUCAACUUCAGAUGAUGGGUUUCCCCCCAAAGGUUCUAACCGAUGAAACUCAGAACAUAGAGCAGGCAGGACUUGCAAAUUCAGUUGUCAUACAGAAAUUCUAGCAGACUGCUGUUUCAUAUUGGCUCUUACCGGUUAAUUGCUGCAUUGAAAGGAUGCAGUUUUAUUGGGGGAUUGUAGAGGUGAGGUACUUUUAUUUCCAUAAAGUCAAAAACAUAUAGAACUGCCCUACUGUUGGGGGAACAUUUUCUUUUUGUUGCUCAAUGUUUACCAAGUAAUCUUAUUUGCUUUUUUUGUUUUGGACCUAAUUCUCUAUGCUAUGAUGAUUGUGGCGUGUCCUCUUUCUGGGCCUAGUGACUGAACUCGAGAUUAUAUUGAAAGACUUCACUGAAAUAUAUCGUAACCCCCGAAAGCAGUUUUUGAAAAUGUCGUAACGACUACCAUCUCUGUUUAUAUUAUAUUAUAUUUCUUCUGAAGCUAACAAACAGGUGUGGUUAUCUUACUAGAAAUUUGGAAAGAUUUUUAAAAUGUGGUUUUAAUUCUAAAUUGUGUAAACACUAAACCUAAAGGUGGAUGGAUAUAUAUAAUUGCACAAUAAUUUUUUUUUCAAUUGUUAAUAAUGUAUAUAAAUUUGUUAACGUUUUAAAAAUAACUUUGUUCCAAGUUUACCAACAAAAAUUUUAUAAAAAAUAUAAAAUUAUUUAAUCAUUACAUAUUCAUUGAAGUUUUUCUAUAUUUAUAUUAGUGCAUAUAAUUCAAUUUGAAUUAGAUUAUAUCAUAUUUAUAAAAUCAAAUUCAUAAAUCAAUUCAAUCAAACAAAGAAAAGUUCAAUUAUUUGUUCCAAGUUUACCAAUAAAAGAUUUAUAAAAAAUAUAAAAUUAUUUAAUCAUUACAUAUUCAUUGAAGUUUUUCUAUAUUUAUAUUAGUGCAUAUAAUUCAAUUUGAAUUAGAUUAUAUCAUAUUUAUAAAAUCAAAUUCAUAAAGAAAUGUUCAAUCAAUUACAUUAUAUUUAAAAAUGAUUUAUACUGUAAGAAAAAAUUCGUUACAGUACUCAUAAUUAAAAAGGUUUACAGUGAGUACUAACGAAUUAUAGUCUGAUUAAUAAUCAAUAGAUUAGAAAAUACAAAUAUAUUGAUGAUAUAAAAUGUUAUAUUUUUUCAUACAAAAAAUUACUUUUAAUUGACAUUUAAAACAGUUGUGAGCAAAAUAGAAUUACAUUUCUGCCUUGGGCUAUCUUAAAAGUCAGGGAUCAGAACUACUUGGCAGCAACGCAAAGACAAAGCUUUGUGUGUAUAACAUGCCUCAGUCUCAGUCUUCGUCUUAGAGCCACACCAUAUACUCCCAGAAACACACACACACACUCUCUCCCUUGCGAUUCGUUGUGUGAAAUAUUUGUAGGCAUGGCGUCACGGGACCACAAAAAGGCAUCGAGCAGCCGAACAGGCAGAAUUCGCACUCUCUCCGAUCUGAACCGUCCCUCUGCCGAUUCCGACAGCGACUCCGAUGGUCCUCAGGAGUACUACACCGGCGGGGAGAAGAGGUUCUCUUCUUUCCCGAUCCUUCUCCUCCUUUCUUCGUUCAUUAGCCUAACCCUCAAUUCUUGCAUUCUAUCACACCAACACAACAAAACUAAAAACUAUUAAUAAAGUUUUAUCGAUAUCACUAGCUUUAAUGUUAAGUCCCCAUCUUAGAAACUCUAGAAACUUCUUAAUAUCGCACUCUAUGUAUAAUAUAUUCCCUUACCGAUUAUUACUGUAAGAAUUAUUAGAGUUGACUUACAACAAGCUGGCGUAUUUCCAGUCAAUCAACUAGGUUAGAUUUUCGGAACAUUUUUUUAAUCGUGCAUGAUUGAAAUCAGAGUUGCAAUUUUUUCUGAUAUGUUUCGUUUUGUCUUCUGAAUUCUAAUGCGAUGGUUUGGCGAUGUUAUUGGUUGCCUUAGCUUGGUAUGAUUAUAGAUUGUGACUUUUUUUGUUUGUGUUGAUUGAUGAGUUUCUUCCCCGUUUCUCUUGUUUGGGUUAACUUCAUUGAUCGCAUACUGCUUUGAUAUUAAAGAGGAAGAUUUCUCUAACAGGAUUUAGUGAUUAGGUUUCAGCUCAGCACAUGUUUGUGUUACUUUUGAAAAUGCGGGUCAUUCUAAUUUAGGUUCCAUGUGUGUUUAGUUUGGUGUUUUGUAUUCUUGGAACCACGUUUGGGAUGUAAAAAAUGGAAUUUAUUCAAAGUAAUUUUCGUUUUGAAUAUGAAUCAUGGAUCCACUUUUGACUUAAUCCGAACCUGACGUGAAACCAUAAGUGCACUCAAUACAUAAGUAAUGAUAGGGGUUUUUAGGAAGUUAGAGGCCAGUGAAUGGUAAAAAACAGACAUGCAUUUAUUCUUUUGCCCUUUUACCAGUAUAAAGUGGUUUCAGAUUUUUGUAUAACUCAUUUGGGUGAAGCAUUUGGAAAACUUAUCUUAAGGCAUGAAUAAAAGCAAUAAAUCAUGCUUUUAGUGAGAGGUUUGUAACCUUUACAUUGAAGUUAUUUUGCUUAAAUUUGGGUUACUUUUUCUGGUAUAGGUUUUGGGCUUUUGAAAACCAUUCAGAUUCAUCUUAGCCAGUAAAAGAAUGGGGCAAGAAAAUGAAAAAAAAAAUCUGAUUUGUUUUAUCAUUUGGUGAUUUUUUUUUCCAAACAGGAAAUAUCUUUACUCUUCCCAGGUUUUAUGGCAAUGCUUCUGCAUUUUGAUAGCCUUUGAAGUCUAUAAUGAUUUGUUUAAACUUUAUAUCAUAACUUCUAGUGUUUCCAUGUGAUGAUUGCUAUCAAAUUAUAUAGCUUAGUAGCUUGAAAAUAUAGAUAGGGAUAGCUAUAUUUUUAGUAAUAUUGUUUUAUAGUAUGUAUUUUAUAUAUAUAUAUAUAUAUAUAUAUAUAUAUAUAUAUUCGCAUUUAAGCUGUGUUUGAAUGGAUAAUCAACCCAUUUUUAGAGUUUUUAAGGUAAUGAAGUGGAAUGGUUUAGGAUGGGAACCCAAACUACCUUACCACUCUUAACUUUCAAAUUUCCCUACUCUCUCAUUUAGAGGGUUUUGGAUGGAAUACUACUUUUUAUAUUUGGAGGCAGUUAUCCAUAAUUGUAAUUUACUCCACUCAAGUAAUUAUCACCUUUACUUCCAAACAAAGGUAAGGGGAUCCCCACCAUACCCUCAUUAAAAAAUUUCAAAUAGAGUGGUACCUUACAAAUAGAGUGCUUCAUCCUCUUCAAUAUUUCCAAACAUAGCUGUAAACUUAACUUCACCUGUAUGCUUCUAUAACCUCAAGCACCUUACAGACAGAAAUCACUUUUGACUACCUUCGUUGAAAGUGUGACAUUUGGAUAUUAAAAUUACCGCUUUCACAAUUUUCUGAAACAUUUAUUGAUGCACACAUCUGUCAUUUGAUUUUAUGAAAAAUUUCUACAAAGUAUUUAACCAUUCUGCAUUAUAUCUCCAGUGGAAUGCUUGUCCAGGAUCCUUCAAAGGGAAAUGACGUGGAUGCAAUUUUCAAUCAAGCUAGGCAACUGGGCGCUGUUGAAAGGCCUCUUGAUCAGCUUCAGGAGCCCCCAAGGUCAACUAGCUUUGCUGGAACUGGCAGGUUACUCUCAGGGGAAACUGCUGCACAGUCUACUACUAAUCAGCAACCCGAGUCUGUUGUUCACAACAUUGUUUUCUGGAGUAAUGGUUUCACUGUAAAUGAUGGACCUUUGAGGAGAUUGGAAGACCCUGAAAAUGCCUCAUUUUUAGAGGUGAUGGUAUUUAGGAUUCUGAUUCCUUCAUGGGUUGAGGGUAAAAUGAUUUGGAAGUAAUGAGGUUGUGUUCCAGAAAAUGCAAAUUCUGAUGUUAGAGGAUUUAGAUUUUGGUGGAUAAUGUUCAGGAAAUAAUGAAACACCGUAACAAAUUUCUCAUACAAUUCACCUUUUUAUUUUCAUUUUCAGAAAUCAAGCAUAUUUUAAGUAUUCUAUCAGUUGCUUUCAUAAUUUAAUGGCCAUGUAAGAAUGCUACCGCAGAGACAUGUUUGGGUUACUAUUACUUUCUUACUGGUUACAUAAAAUGGUUUCUUUGUGCUUAAUGAUAUUUGCUAUUUUCAAUGCAGAGCAUAAAAAAAUCUGAGUGUCCCAAAGAGCUUGAACCUGCAGAUAGGAGGUCAUCUGUUAAUGUUAACCUCAUAAGGAGGAACGAGAACUAUCCUGUAAGUUUCCUGUUAGUUUUUGUCCAAUUUACUAUUAAACCACAAUGAAUUUACUCUUGGAGCUUUUGAACUUCUGCAUUUUGAAAAGCAAUGCAAUCUUGUUGUACAUAAUUACUGGCUUCUGAAAUCGAACAUGCCCAUUGUGUAAAUUAUAAGUAACUUGGUUAUGCUUACAGGAACCCGUAAAGCAGUCUGUUCCCUUUCAGGGAGUGGGAAGAACUCUUGGAAGCAGCUCUACAUCAGUGGCUCCUGACCCAACUGCUGCCUUAACACCUCCAACCACAGCGCCAACUCCUUCUGCAGGCCUGGUUGUUGAUCAAUCACUGCCAUCAACCUCAAUACAAGUCAGGCUGGCUGAUGGAACCCGCUUGAUAUCACAUUUUAAUCUUCACCACGUGAUCAGUGACAUUCGUGCCUUCAUUGAUGCAUCUCGACCUGGUGGUCGGCAGAAUUAUCAACUUCAGAUGAUGGGUUUCCCUCCAAAGGUUCUAACUGAUGAAACUAAGACCAUAGAACAGGCUGGACUGGCAAAUUCAGUUGUCAUACAGAAAUUCUAGCAGACUGCUUUUUCAUGGUAUUAGUCU